rnacentral:rRNA from 1 species
AUUGAACGCUGGCGGCAGGCUUAACACAUGCAAGUCGAGCGGGGUGAUGGUGCUUGCACUAUCACUUAGCGGCGGACGGGUGAGUAAUGCUUAGGAAUCUACCUAUUAGUUGGGGACAACAUCUCGAAAGGGAUGCUAAUACCGCAUACGUCCUACGGGAGACAGCAGGGGGUCACUUGUGACCUUGCGCUAAUAGAUGAGCCUGAGUCGGAUUAGCGAGUUGGUGGGGUAAAGGCCUACCAAGGCGACGAUCUGUAGCGGGUCUGAGAGGAUGAUCCGCCACACUGGGACUGGGACACGGCCCAGCCUCCUACGGGAGGCAGCAGUGGGGAAUAUUGGACAAUGGGGGGAACCCUGAUCCAGCCAUGCCGCGUGUGUGAAGAAGGCCUUAUGGUUGUAAAGCACUUUAAGCGAGGAGGAGGCUCUUUUGGUUAAUACCCAAGAUGAGUGGACGUUACUCGCAGAAUAAGCACCGGCUAACUCUGUGCCAGCCGCCGCGGUAA